UGGACUUCGACAUGGCUACUGUCUCCAGAGCCAGGUUGCCUUCAUUCUGUUUGAAGUGACCUCGCACGUCACCUCCAAGAAUGUGGCCACCUGGUACCGUGAACUGACCCGGCUUGUCGACCAUACGCCCAUCGUCCUGUGCGGAAACAUCGUCGAUAUUAAGGACCACAUGGUGAAAGGCAAAAAUGUGGUAUCCUAUUGUAAGAUGAACAAGAAGCCAUUCCUUUGUUAUUGGUGUUGGAGUUGGUCAAAUAGUUGGUAGUCCCAAGUUGGAACUAGUCGGCAAAACUUGUUGGGACUGGCCAAUUCAAAUGGAGAAGGAUCUGGUUGAAGACCAAACUAUCGCUAUGCCUGAUGAUGACGAAAUUCUUUGAAGAAAGCUGUUUCGCUUCUAAAUUCCUUAAAAUUUAUAGUCAUUUUUGGAAAGCUCAGACUUCAUCAAAUUUGUACUGAUUUGGAUUUAAUAAAAAUAUGCAAACAAAAUAGGAAA